rnacentral:rRNA from 1 species
GACGAACGCUGGCGGCGUGCUUAACACAUGCAAGUCGAACGGAAAGGCCCUGCUUUUGUGGGGUGCUCGAGUGGCGAACGGGUGAGUAACACGUGAGUAACCUGCCCUUGACUUUGUGAUAACUUCAGGAAACUGGGGCUAAUAUCGGAUAGGAGCUCCUGCUGCAUGGGGGGGGUUGGAAAGUUUCGGCGGUUGUGGAUGGACUCGCGGCUUAUCAGCUUGUUGGUGGGGUAGUUGCUUACCAAGGCUUUGACGGGUAGGCGGCCUGAGAGGGUGACCGGGCACAAUGGGACUGAGAUACGGCGCAGAAUGGUACGGGAGGCAGCAGGGGGGAAUAUUGCGCAAUGGGCGGAAGCCUGAUGCAGAAACGCCGCGUGCGGGAUGACGGCCUUCGGGUUGUAAACCGCUUUCGCCUGUGACGAAGAGUGAGUGACGGUAAUGGGUAAAGAAGCACCGGCUAACUACGUG